UACGGAGGGUGCGAGCGUUAAUCGGAAUUACUGGGCGUAAAGCGUGCGUAGGUGGUCUAUUAAGUUAGCUGUGAAAUCCCUGGGCUCAACCUGGGCAGGUCAGCUAAGACUGGUAGACUGGAGUAUAGGAGAGGGUAGUGGAAUUUCCGGUGUAGCGGUGAAAUGCGUAGAGAUCGGAAGGAACACCAGUGGCGAAGGCGGCUACCUGGCCUAAUACUGACACUGAGGCACGAAAGCGUGGGGAGCAAACAGG
rnacentral:misc_RNA from 1 species